rnacentral:rRNA from 1 species
UACGAAGGGGGCUAGCGUUGCUCGGAAUGACUGGGCGUAAAGGGCGCGUAGGCGGACGGCUUUGUCGGGCGUGAAAUUCCUGGGCUCAACCUGGGGACUGCGCUUGAGACGUGUGGGCUUGAGUGGGGAAGAGGGUCGUGGAAUUCCCAGUGUAGAGGUGAAAUUCGUAGAUAUUGGGAAGAACACCGGUGGCGAAGGCGGCGACCUGGUCCUUGACUGACGCUGAGGCGCGAAAGCGUGGGGAGCAAACAGG